rnacentral:rRNA from 1 species
AGAGUUUGAUCCUGGCUCAGAACGAACGCUGGCGGCGUGCCUAACACAUGCAAGUCGAACGGAAUUUGAGAGCUUGCUCUUAAAUUUAGUGGCGCACGGGUGAGUAACGCGUAGAUAAUCUGCCUGAUGAUCUGGGAUAACACUUCGAAAGAGGUGCUAAUACCGGAUAAGCCCACGGGGUCUUUGGACUCUGCGGGAAAAGGGGGGGACCUUCGGGCCUUCUGUCAUCAGAUGAGUCUGCGUACCAUUAGCUAGUUGGUGAGGUAACGGCCCACCAAGGCGACGACGGGUAAGGGACCUGAGAGGGUGGUCCCUCGCAAUGGCACUGAAACACGGGCCAUACACCUACGGGUGGCAGCAGUAGGGAAUAUUGGGCAAUGGGCGAAAGCCUGGCCCAGCAACGCCGCGUGCACGAUGAAGGCCUUCGGGUCGUAAAGUGCUUUUCUGAGGGAUGAGAAAGGACAGUACCUCAGGAAUAAGCCUCGGCUAACUACGUGCCAGCAGCCGCGGUAAAACGUAGGAGGCGAGCGUUAUCCGGAUUUACUGGGCGUAAAGCGUGUGUAGGCGGUACGGCAAGUUGGAUGUGAAAGCUCCUGGCUUAACUAGGAGAGGUCGUUCAAAACUACCGAACUUGAGUUUAUCAGAGGAAGAUGGAAUUCCCGGUGUAGUGGUGAAAUGCGUAGAUAUCGGGAGGAACACCAGUGGCGAAAGCGAUCUUCUGGGAUAAUACUGACGCUCAGACACGAAAGCUAGGGUAGCGAACGGGAUUAGAUACCCCGGUAGUCC